AGGAUUGUAUUUAAGCCUCAGUGGAAGUUGUCUUGCAGUUCAACUGAGAGCACGAACCAGCAUCUCCUAUAAACCAAGACACCUCAUCAGGCGGUUCCCACAGAGAAAGGUUUUAAUAAUCUGCUGACAUUUCUACAUUUUCUUUUGGAGUAAACCCCUGUUCUGAAGAUGUCAGCGAGCUUUGCGAUCGAAGGGCCAAACGUCUCCACAAAUGUCGAAGCCUCUUUAUCGUCUCUCAGUGUCACAGCCUUUGUGAAUGCACAAGUCGCCAGUACUUUCCUCGCCAUUGGUCCUGUGAAAACUACAGUGGGCAUUGCAGCAGAUACUGGUGCCAAGAUCGGUGUGACAGGUGUAGAGGCAAAGGUGCUGGGAACAGGCUUCUCCAUCGGUCGUAAAAUGGGCAUUUCUCUGUUUGGCACUGGAAUUGAAAUUAAUUUGUGGUAAACUGUGGCUUUGUGCCAAACACUACUGCCGUGUCUUCU